rnacentral:rRNA from 1 species
AUUGAACGCUGGCGGCAUGCCUUACACAUGCAAGUCGAACGGUAACAGGUCUUCGGAUGCUGACGAGUGGCGAACGGGUGAGUAAUACAUCGGAACGUGCCUAGUAGUGGGGGAUAACUACUCGAAAGAGUGGCUAAUACCGCAUGAGAUCUACGGAUGAAAGCAGGGGAUCGCAAGACCUUGUGCUACUAGAGCGGCCGAUGGCAGAUUAGGUAGUUGGUUGUAUAAAAGCUUACCAAGCCGACGAUCUGUAGCUGGUCUGAGAGGACGAUCAGCCACACUGGGACUCAGCCACGGCCCAGACUCCUACGGGAUGCAGAAGUGGGGAAUUUUGGACAAUGGGCGAAACCCUGAUCCAGCAAUGCCGCGUGCAGGAUGAAGGCCUUCGGGUUGUAAACUGCUUUUGUACGGAACGAAAAGCCCCGGGUUAAUUCCCUGGGGUCAUGACGGUACCGUAAGAAUAAGCACCGGCUAACUACGUGCCAGCCGCCGCGGUAA